GGGCAUGUGGUCUAGAGGUAUGAUUCUCGCUUAGGGCCAUACAUUUUAUUAUAGCACUAGUAUGCGGGAGGUCCUGGGUUCGAUUCCCAGCUUGCCCC